rnacentral:rRNA from 1 species
UACGGGGGGGGCAAGCGUUGUUCGGAAUCACUGGGCGUAAAGAGCGCGUAGGCGGUCUCUUAAGUCAGAUGUGAAAGCCCGGGGCUUAACCCCGGAAGUGCAUUUGAAACUAAGGGACUUGAGUAUGGGAGAGGGAAGUGGAAUUCCUGGUGUAGCGGUGAAAUGCGUAGAUAUCAGGAGGAACACCGGUGGCGAUGGCGACUUCCUGGACCAAUACUGACGCUGAGGCGCGAAGGCGUGGGGAGCAAACAGG